AGAGUUUGAUCCUGGCUCAGGAUGAACGCUAGCGAUAGGCUUAACACAUGCAAGUCGAGGGGCAGCAUUAUUUUAGCUUGCUAAGAUAGAUGGCGACCGGCGCACGGGUGCGUAACGCGUAUGCAACCUGCCUGUAAUUAGGGAAUAACCCGGUGAAAGUCGGACUAAUACCCUAUAUUCUUCUUUCUCCGCAUGGGGAUAGACGGAAAGAUUUAUUGAUUACAGAUGGGCAUGCGUCCCAUUAGCUAGUUGGUAAGGUAACGGCUUACCAAGGCAACGAUGGGUAGGGGGACUGAGAGGUUGACCCCCCACACUGGUACUGAGACACGGACCAGACUCCUACGGGAGGCAGCAGUGAGGAAUAUUGGUCAAUGGGCGAGAGCCUGAACCAGCCAAGUCGCGUGAAGGACGACGGUUCUAUGGAUUGUAAACUUCUUUUGUAGAGGAAUAAUGGCAGCUACGUGUAGCUGAGAUGCAUGUACUCUACGAAUAAGUAUCGGCUAACUCCGUGCCAGCAGCCGCGGUAAUACGGAGGAUACGAGCGUUAUCCGGAAUUAUUGGGUUUAAAGGGUGCGUAGGUGGCGUAUUAAGUCAGUGGUGAAAAGCUGCAGCUCAACUGUAGUCUUGCCGUUGAAACUGAUAUGCUAGAGAGGAGACGAGGUAUGCGGAAUGUGUGGUGUAGCGGUGAAAUGCAUAGAUAUCACACAGAACGCCGAUUGCGAAGGCAGCGUACCAGGCUCCGUCUGACACUGAAGCACGAAAGCGUGGGGAUCAAACAGGAUUAGAUACCCUGGUAGUCCACGCAGUAAACGAUGAAUACUAGAUUUUUGCGAUAUAGUGUAAGAGUCUAAGCGAAAGCGAUAAGUAUUCCACCUGGGGAGUACGCCGGCAACGGUGAAACUCAAAGGAAUUGACGGGGGCCC
rnacentral:rRNA from 1 species